GAUGAACGCUGGCGGCGUGCCUAAUACAUGCAAGUCGAGCGAACAGACGAGGAGCUUGCUCCUCUGACGUUAGCGGCGGACGGGUGAGUAACACGUGGAUAACCUACCUAUAAGACUGGGAUAACUUCGGGAAACCGGAGCUAAUACCGGAUAAUAUAUUGAACCGCAUGGUUCAAUAGUGAAAGACGGUUUUGCUGUCACUUAUAGAUGGAUCCGCGCCGCAUUAGCUAGUUGGUAAGGUAACGGCUUACCAAGGCAACGAUGCGUAGCCGACCUGAGAGGGUGAUAGGCCACACUGGAACUGAGACACGGUCCAGACUCCUACGGGAGGCAGCAGUAGGGAAUCUUCCGCAAAGGGCGAAAGCCUGACGGAGCAACGCCGCGUGAGUGAUGAAGGUCUUCGGAUCGUAAAACUCUGUUAUUAGGGAAGAACAAAUGUGGAAGUAACUAUGCACGUCUUGACGGUACCUAAUCAGAAAGCCACGGCUAACUACGUG
rnacentral:rRNA from 1 species